rnacentral:ncRNA from 1 species
AAGUCUGGNUUAAGCAUUUGCUGGAGCCAGAAAUAGUCGGACCGAAAGGUUUGGCUAGUUGAUAUGACCUUGCAUGGUAGAGGUCGUAUUGGCUACACCAUCGAAUUGCGGGAAGUUCCUUAGAGCCCAAGCUACCAAGCCGGCAUGGAAACAUGAUCGGUGGCCAGGUUAAUAGCCUCGGGUAUGGUAACAACGCUUGGGAUUGGAUAAUCCGCAGCCAAGCUCCUAUCAGCUGUCAAUUCAGCCAUGGAGAAGGUUCAGAGACUAAGUGGUGGUGGGCUAAUUGUGUAUUUGCAAUUGGCUUAAGAUAGAGUCCGUCCCUACCGAGAGGUAGCC